UACGUAGGGGGCAAGCGUUGUCCGGAAUCAUUGGGCGUAAAGAGCGUGUAGGCGGUCCGAUAAGUCCGCUCUGAAAGCCCGGGGCUCAACCCCGGGAGGCGGGCGGAUACUGGCGAUCUUGAGUCCGGGAGAGGUGAGUGGAACUGCGAGUGUAGAGGUGAAAUUCGUAGAUAUUCGCAAGAACACCAGUGGCGAAGGCGGCUCACUGGCCCGGUACUGACGCUGAGGUGCGAAAGCGUGGGGAGCAAACAGG
rnacentral:rRNA from 1 species